rnacentral:rRNA from 1 species
AUGGGGGCAACCCUGAUCCAGCCAUGCCGCGUGUGUGAAGAAGGCCUUUUGGUUGUAAAGCACUUUAAGCAGUGAAGAAGACUCCGUGGUUAAUACCCACGGACGAUGACAUUAGCUGCAGAAUAAGCACCGGCUAACUCUGUGCCAGCAGCCGCGGUAAUACAGAGGGUGCAAGCGUUAAUCGGAAUUACUGGGCGUAAAGCGAGCGUAGGUGGCUUGAUAAGUCAGAUGUGAAAUCCCCGGGCUUAACCUGGGAACUGCAUCUGAUACUGUUAGGCUAGAAUAGGUGAGAGGAAGGUAGAAUUCCAGGUGUAGCGGUGAAAUGCGUAGAGAUCUGGAGGAAUACCGAUGGCGAAGGCAGCCUUCUGGCAUCAUAUUGACACUGAGGUUCGAAAGCGUGGGUAGCAAACAGGAUUAGAUACCCUGGUAGUCCACGCCGUAAACGAUGUCUACUAGUCGUUGGGUCCCUUGAGGACUUAGUGACGCAGCUAACGCAAUAAGUAGACCGCCUGGGGAGUAC